GAUCAUGGCUCAGGACGAACGCUGGCGGCGCGCCUAACACAUGCAAGUCGAACGAGCGAGAGAGAGCUUGCUUUCUCGAGCGGGUGGCGAACGGGUGAGUAACGCGUGAGGAACCUGCCUCAAAGAGGGGGACAACAGUUGGAAACGACUGCUAAUACCGCAUAAGCCCACGGCUCGGCAUCGAGCAGAGGGAAAAGGAGCAAUCCGCUUUGAGAUGGCCUCGCGUCCGAUUAG
rnacentral:rRNA from 1 species